AUGUGAUUUUUAAAUCAGAGUUUUGCCAAGUUGAUGCCAAGUAACCUUGGUUUCUGUUGCUGAUGUUCUUAUGCUUGCCUCCACCAUCUGAUUAUCUCUAGUGCUACCUGCCUUUGCUAUAUCUGACUGAAGUCUGUCUUUCCUGUGAUCCUGGUUGUGUCAGAACUCCUCAGAGUUCAGCUGUCUCUGUGAUUCUGUGAUCCUGAGAUCCUGGGUGUGUCAGAGCUCCUGGGAGUCAAGCUACCUCUGGGACCCUGAGAUCCUGGUGUGGCAAAACUCCUGGGAUUCUGGGAUCCAGGGAUCCUAUGGUCCUGUGGUCCUGUGGUCCUGGGCGUGUAAGAGCUCCUGGGAGUGGGUCUUCUCUGGGAGUUGUGGGACUGGCUACAGAAUUAGUGCCCAAGGUCUACUCAGGGCACCAGUCCAGACUGGAAGACCCAUCUCUCCAGUCUUAAGUGGGCUAAUUUACAUUCUUACUAUCAGCGCAUAUGAGGACAGUCUUUUAUCUUAACACCAGUCAUUUUUGUCUUAUUAUUUUUUAUAGCUACUUGGGAGGAUGAGAUGACAUUUUGUGGUUUUGGUUUUUACUUCUAUGAUGAGAUAUUUUCUUAGACAUUCUCUGUCAUAUAACACACCCUCUUCUUGCUUUUGAGUUGAAUGUCUUACAUAUGUUGCAAGUAUAUCACUUAUUAAUGAAUAAUUUGUACUUCACUUCCCAUUCUGCAGGUUGUUCAUCUUGUUGAUGGUUUCCUUUCUUGGACAGAUUUUCUUAGAAACCUUAUUAGUUAAGUUUUUGCUUUAGUUGUUCUUGGUGUCUUCUUUCCCCCCUCCUCCCCAUGGGCUUUCCAUAUCUAAAGAUGUCUUUGUGAUGAGGGGUGAUUUUUGAAGCGCUUCUGCACUUUUAAUAGUUACAAAGUUUUGGGUUUUAUGGAAUGAUAUGACCCAACUGUACAUGUUUAGAAUUAGGGGCCUGCUUUAUUUCUUCUGCAUUGCAUGCUCACUUUGUGGAGCAUCUUCCUUUCCUUUCCUUUCCUUUCCUUUCCUUUCCUUUCCUUUCCUUUCCUUUCCUUUCCUUUCCUUUCCUUUCCUUUCCUUUUUUUUAAAAAGUUUGUGUGUGAGGAGAUACUGUUUAUAGCUCAGUUUGGUCUAGAACUUACAGUAUUAGUUCCAUCCCUCUCAAGUUCUGAAUUACACCCUACCUACGAGUUGUAUAUUUUAAAGUCAGGUAUUAUAGUUCUUCUAGGUCAUGUGUCCCUAUCCCUCUAUACCCCUAUCUGCUUUUCCACAGUUUCAGGAUUGUUUUACCUUCUGAAGGCAUUCAUUUAUUGAGUCAGGGCCUCAUAUAUAGCCCCGUGUGGCCUGGAGCUCCCUAUGGGUACCAGACUAGGGGCAAAUUCAUAGAGAUAUACCUGACUCUACUUUGGUUUGAAGCAUGCACCACCAUGCCUGGUCUUUCCUUAUAUAUUUUGUUAUUAACUUUUCUUGUUCCUUGAAGAAAAUUGUUCAUAUUUUGAUAGAAAAUUGCAUUCAAUUGAUGUGUUGAUCAAUUUGAGCUAUGUUGUUUUUUUAAAAAGUAUAAUAGAUUUUUUUCAUGCAAUAUAUUAUGUUUUCCCUUCCCCCUGCUUCUAUCAGUUCCUUCCCAUCUCCCCUCUCAUACCUAAUCUUCAAGCUUUCUAUCUCUCAGAAUUACAAACAAGCCUCUAAAGAAUAGC
rnacentral:lncRNA from 1 species